GUGCUCUUGGGACGACGUCGUUCCUCCAUCGGCGCCUCCACCUUUGCUACUCCACCUUUGCGCCUCCAUCGGCGCCUCCACCUUUCGCGGGGGAGAUUAUAGCAAAGGUUGCUCAUGAACUCAGAGAAAGACUCAUUUUCGUAUUCCAGAAGUACCAAAAAGGUAGAUACUUUCUUGCCCAUCUCUUAAUUUCAUUGAUGAACUUUCUUGAUCUUAUAUUUGUGGGUAAUUUUUUACGAUUGAGAACUCAAUUGGCCUUUAUUUUGUUCACUAAUCAAACAUGAGGUGUCUGAUUCAUAUUUCUCCUCCGGCUCACAUGAUGAAUGUGUAUGAGACUUGUGUUGUAGUGUUGCUCUGCCAUUAUGCUUGUCAUUAUGUUUCGCAUCUCAAUAAUCAUCUCUAGUUAAGCAUGAGACUUUUGUGUAGAGGUAUGUAUUAAGCUUCUUCUUAACAACCAGGUAUGACGAAAAGACUCGCAUGGUUAUCAGUCCUUGCUUUGAUGUUAACUCACCAUUGUAUUAGAAACUUAAAUUUCUUUAUGGAAUUCUUUAUGGAAAUUUGUUUCAGUAUGGAUUUCUCAUUUUUACUGAUUCUUCUGGAAGUUCUCUAUAAUUAGGAAGCUAAAGUUACAGCAGCUUUUAAGUCCCAAAUCGAGAAGCUAUAGAAAGAGAGAGAUGAGUUUCAGAAGAUUGUCAUUGGGAAUCAGGUUGGACGUUUGGGUUUAAUGUAGACUUGUGUUGUUGUGCUACUAUUUGAAACUGGACUAAUGCUGACAAGUAUUAGUGAUAUGUUGAUGCUGUUCAAAGCAAGUUAAGACUCAACAGAUGCAUGAUUUUAAGAAAAAAGAAAAGCAUUGACCAAAAAAAA